UACGAAGGGGCUAGCGUUGCUCGGAAUCACUGGACGUAAAGGGUGCGUAGGCGGGUCUUAAGUCAGGGGUGAAAUCCUGGAGCUCAACUCCAGAACUGCCUUUGAUACUGAAGAUCUUGAGUUCGGGAGAGGUGAGUGGAACUGCGAGUGUAGAGGUGAAAUUCGUAGAUAUUCGCAAGAACACCAGUGGCGAAGGCGGCUCACUGGCCCGAUACUGACGCUGAGGCACGAAAGCGUGGGGAGCAAACAGGG
rnacentral:rRNA from 1 species